rnacentral:rRNA from 1 species
GAUGAACGCUGGCGGCGUGCCUAAUACAUGCAAGUCGAGCGAACAGACGAGGAGCUUGCUCCUCUGACGUUAGCGGCGGACGGGUGAGUAACACGUGGAUAACCUACCUAUAAUACGGGUAUAACUUCGGGAAACCGGAGCUAAUACCGGAUAAUAUAUUGAACCGCAUUGGUCAAUGGUGAAAUACGGUGUUUCUGGCACUUAUAGAUGGAUCCGCGCGGCAUUAGCUAGUUGGUAAGGUAACGGCUUACCAAGGCGACGAUGCGUAGCCGACCUGAGGGGGUGAUAGGCCACACUGGAACUGAGACACGGUCCAGACUCCUACGGGAGGCAGCAGUAGGGAAUCUUACGCAAUGGGCGAAAGCCUGACGGAGCAACGCCGCGUGAGUGAUGAAGGUCUUCGGAUCGUAAAACUCUGUAAUUAGGGAAGAACAAAUGUGUAAGUAACUAUGCACUUCUUGACGGUAACUAAUCAGAAAGCAACGGCUAACUACGUG